CCCUAACCAUCCACUGUGUAAAAAAGUUUUCAUGUCACAUUUGAUUCUUUUUUCGUACCCUUCAGUCAAUGUCAUCUGGCUCUUGACUCCUCCAAUGGAAUAGGUUUCUGUCCAACUCUUCAAACUUCAUGAUUUUAAGCAUCUCGAUCAGAACCCCUUGCAACUCCAAAUUUACUCACAUUACUGAAAUAAUUUUAGUAAACCUCUUCUACCAUAUCUAAAGCUUUGACAUCUUUCCUAAAAUGUGGCACCUUGAACUGGAUAUGAUAUUUCAGUUACGUUACAAAUGUUACAAAUUUCAUUUUGACUUUCUUGUUAUUAAAUUCAAUGCCACUAGUAAUAAAUAAAAUACUGCAUCCUGUAUUUAACCAAUUUCUCAGUCUUUUCUACUACUUCCUUUAUUGAGACAUUCUUAAUAUCUGUACCUAGUUUAUAAUAUACCUCCCUUUCUUCCUCCAAAAUGUAAUACUUAACAAUUGGCAAAAGUAUAUUCCCUUUGGUACCUUUUCCACCAUUCCACCAGCCUUCCUAAUUCUCUUUGGAGCCUAUUACUAAUUUCCUCAUGACUCACAAAGCCUCCAAGUUUCAUGUCAUUAAACUUGCACAUUUUAUCUUGUACACCCACAUCUAAGGCAUUAGAAGAGGUCCCAGUUUCUCUGGGAACAUCACUGCAUGCAUCCCUCCAGUCAUGGCUCUAUGCCAGUUUCCUGUAUUUUUAAUUAAUUUUCUAUCCAAUCAAGAUCGAAGAUUGCUUAAUGUCAUUUCCUGUACAUUUACAAAUACUUUAUUGUCACCAAAUAAUUGAUACUAGAGCUUACAAUUAUCACAGUGAUAUUUGUUUCUGCGCUUCGCUCUCCCUGAAGUACAAAUCGAAGUAAAUAUAAUAAAAAUUUAAAUUAUAAAUCAUAAUUAGAAAAUAGAAAAGGGAAAGUAAGGUAGUGCAAGUCAGGUCCAGAUAUUUGGAAGAUACGGUCCAGAUCUGGGACAGGAUCUGUUCAGCAGUCUUAUCACAUUUGGAAAGAAGCUGUUCCCAAAUCUGGCCGUAUGAGUCUUCAUGCUCCUAAUCCUUCCCCCAGAGGGAAGUGGUACAAAAAGUGUGUUGGCUGGGUGGGACUUAUCAAGUUAAAAAUGAAAACAGAAUGAAAAUAAUUGUUAUUGUGGAUCAGAUGCAGUACGAAAACACAGAAGAUGGAGUAUUCAAUAAUAAUUAACAUACACAAUAAAUAUAAAUACAUAAGAUUGCUUAUAUAUGUGUAUUUGUGACUGACGGGAAAUAAUGAAGUAGUGGUGGAGUUAGUGGGAGGAGGUGUUGAUCAGCCUUAUUGCUUGGGGAAAGUAACUGUAAGAGUCUGGUAGUCCUGAUGUGGAUGGUUAGAAGCCUCCUGCCUGAUGGGAUUGGGACAAACAGUACUGAGCAGGAUGUGUGGGAUCCUUCAUGACUUUACUGGCCCUCUUCCGGCACCUUUCUUAUACAUCCUUGAUGGAAGGAAGGCUGGUGCCAGUGAGGCAUUGAGCACUUUUGACUACACAUUGCAGAGCCUUCUGCCGCAGUGCAGGCUCCGUGCCAAGCAGUGGUGUGGCUUGUUAAUACGUCCUCGACUGCGCACCUGAAUAACGCGAGUAUGGAUGCACAAACUCUGCCUCCUCAGAAAGCAGAGGCACUGAUGAGCCUUACUGACUGUGCAGCAUGCUUUCUGUUUUCAUGAGAGGUUGUGUGUGAUGUGCACUCCCUAGAGCUUAAUCCUCUGCUGUGACACCCAUAUAAAGGGAGUGUGAGUGAUGCAAGUUCUCUUGAAGUCAAUAACCAUCUCCUUUGUUUUGUUGACAUCAAGGAAGAUGUUAUUUUUCAGGCAUCAGGCCUUGAGUUCUUUCACCUCCUCUCUGUAGACCAUCUCUUCAUUGUUGAUGGAAAGCCCCACCACCAUUGAGUUAUCAUUGAACUUGACAAUGUGAUUGCUUGAUGAGAGGGUACAGCAAUGGGUGCAGCCCAGGGCCCUUGGAGGCACAAACACCCUUGUUGAGGUUGAUGGGGAUGGAGGAGCCAUUGUACAUCCUGACUACCUGAGAUUUGUUGGUUAGAAAGCAACACCCUGACACACAGUGGUGUAUUUGGUCUGAGAAGGAGGAGUUUGUCCACCAUGUUGCUGACAGUGUUUUAUUCCAUAGGUAUCAAGGACAAAUAUAAAGAAAGAUGCCAGAAAGGGGCCAGUAACAUCAUGAAAGAUUCCAACAAUCCUACUCAGGGAAUGUUUGUUCCACUUCCAUAUGAGAGGAGGCUACAUAGCGUCUUUGCCAGGACUACCAGAUUCAAAAACAUUUACUUUCCCCAAGCAAUAAGGGUGAUCAACACAUCCACCCACUAACCCAGUCCACCACAUCCCUUACCACCACUACUGUAUCAUUUCCCGUCAGUCACCCUACGUAGAGACACUUCUGUGCCCAGCGUCACUUUAUGGACAUACAAUCAAUCUAAGUAUAUAAACUAUCUUAUGAUUUUUAUACUUAUUUUGGCUUUCUUCUAUUAUUACUGUGUUCUUUAUCUUACUGCAUUUUUUUGUGUUGUAUCAGAUCCGGAGUAACAAUUAUUUCAUUCUCCUGUACUUGGAAAUGACAUUAAGUAAUCUUAAGUCAUUAAGUCAUUAAACCAUCAUUAAUCUUGAUUGCAAGCCUAAUAUGUGGUCUUUAUCAAAUGUGUUUUGUAAGUCCAAGUGUGCCACACCAUAAUCCAUAACUGGCCCGUUUUGUUACCUGGCAAAAAAAAUUCCAUUAAGUUAGACAUAAUUUACCUUAAACAAAUCAUUGCUGGCUCUCUUUACUUAAUUUACCUAAAUGACUGCUCAUUCUGUCCCAGAAUAUUUUUUCCAUGAUUUCCCUGUAAAUCAAGUCAAGUCAAGUCAAAUCACUUCAAUUGUAAUUUCGACCAUAACUGCUGGUACAAUACAUAGUAAAAAUGAGACGACAUUUUUCAGGACCAUGGUGUUAUAUGACACAGUACAAAAACUAGACUGAACUAUGAAAAAAACUACACUAGACUACAGACCUACCCAGGACUGCAUAAAGUGCACAAAACAGUGCAGGCAUUACAAUAAAUAAUAAACAAGACAAUAGGGCAAGGUGUCAGUCCAGGCUCUGGGUAUUGAGGAGUCUGAUAGCUUGGGGGAAGAAACUGUUACAUAGUCCGGUCGUGAGAGCCUGAAUGCUUUGGUGCCUUUUCCUAGACGGCAGGAGGGAGAAGAGUUUGUAUGAGGGAUGUGUGGGGUCUUUCAUAAUGCUGUUUGCUUUAUGGAUGCAGUGUGUAGUGUAAAUGUCCGUGAUGGCGGGAAGAGAGACCCCAAUGAUCUUCUCAGCUGACCUCACUAUCCGCUGCAGGGUCUUACGACCUGAGAUGGUGCAAUUUCCGAACCAGGCAGUGAUGCAGCUGCUCAGGAUAUUCUCAAUACAACCCCUGUAGAAUGUGAUGAGGAUGGAGGGUGGGAGAUGGACUUUCCUCAGCCUUUGCAGAAAGUAGAGAUGCUACUGGGCUUUCUUUGCUAUGGAGCUGGUGUUGAGGGACCAGCUGAGAUUCUCUGCCAGGUGAACACCAAGAAAUUUGGUGCUCUUUACAAUCUUUACUGAGGAGCCGUCAAUGUUCACUGGGGAGUGGUCGCUCCAUGCCCUCCUGAAGUCAACAACCAUCUCUUUUGUUUUGUUCACAUUCAGAGACAGGUUGUUGGUUCUGCACCAGUCCGUUAGCCGCUGCACCUCCUCUCUGUUAGCUGACUCGUCGUUCUUGCUGAUGAGACCCACCACGGUUGUGUUAUCGGCGAACUUGAUGAUGUGGUUCGAGCUGUGUGUUGCAGCACAGUUCUGGGUCAGCAGAGUGAACAGCAGUGAACUGAGCUCACAGCCCUGGGGAGCCCCCGUGCUCAGUGUGAUGGUGUUGGAGAUGCUGUUCCCAAUCCAGACUGAUUGAGGUCUCCCAGUCAGGAAGUCUAGGAUCCAGUUGCAGAGGGAGGUGUUCAGGCCCAGUAGGCUCAGCUUUCCAAUCAGUUUCUGAUGGAUGAUUGUGUUGAAUGCUGAACUAAGGUCAAUGAACAGCAUCUGAACGUAUGUGUCUUUUUUGAUGGGUUAGGGCCAGGUGGAGGGUGAUGGCAAUGGUGUCGUCUGUUGAGCGGUUGGGACGGUACGCAAACUGCAGGGGGUCCUGUGAGGGGGCCAGCAGGGUCUUGAUAUGCCUCAUGACGAGCCUCUCGAAACACUUCAUGAUGAUGGAUGUGAGUGCAACGGGACAGUAGUCAUUUAGGGAGGACACUGAAGACUUCUUCAGCACGGGGACGAUGGUGGCGGCCUUGAAGCACGUUGGAAUGGUGGUGCUGCUCAGGGAGAUGUUGAAGAUGUCAGUGAGAGCAUCUGCUAGCUGGUCUGUGCAUCCUCUGAGCACUCUACCAGGGAUGUUGUCCGGUCCAGCAGCCUUCGUGGGUUGACCCUGCACAGGGUUCUUCUCACAUUGGCCAUGGUGAGACACAGCACCUUGUCAUUUGUAGGAGAGGUGGACUUCCUCGCCACCACAUCAUUUUCUGCCUCAAAACGGGUGUAGAAGUUAUUCAGCGCAUCUGAGAGGGAGGCAUCACCUGCACAGUCAGGUGAUGUUGUCCUGUAAUUGGUGAUGUCCUGGAUGCCCUUCCACAUGCGCCGCGUGUUGCGGCUGUCCUGGAAGUAACUGUGGACUCGCUGGGCGUGUGCACACUUUGCCUCUCUAAUGGCCCGGGACAGUUCGACCCUUGCUGUUGUUAGAGCUGCCUUGUCGCCUGCUCUGAAGGCAGAGUCGCGGGACCUCAGCAGCGCACGCACCUCUGCGGUCAUCCAUGGCUUCUGGUUGGCACGUAUAGUGAUGGUCUUGGACAGAGUAACAUCAUCAAUGCACUUGCUGAUGUAGCUGGUCACUGAUGCCGUGUACUCCUCUAAGUUGGUAGAGUCGCAAUCGGUUGCAGCCUCCCUGAACUUGUGCCAGUCAGUGUGCUCAAAGCAGUCUUGAAGAGCAAGAGCUUAAACUGACUCCUCAGUAGUUACUAGAUUUAACCACUAGAUUUCAAGUGUUGAUAUUUGUAAUGUCCUAUUGCUAAACACCAAAACUGAGUUUAGUUAUUUAAAAAAUUAUGCCCAAGGCCUCUGCAAUUUCCAUUUUCUCCUUCUUCAUUGGUUGGUUGAUUAGUGGUCAGUCUUUGCCCGUUUUGUAUAAUUUUCAUUAAUUUUAUUGUAUUCCUUCCUCCCCGACCCCCAACCGUAACUGUCUGGAAAAAAAAUGGAAUCUGAAGCAACAUGGUAAUAGACACUCAGUGGUCACUUUAUUAAGUACACCAGUAUACCUGCACAUUUAUGUAAAUAUCUAAUCAGCCAAUCAUGUGGCAGCAACUGAAUCCGUAGAAGCAUGCAGACAUGGUCAAGAGGUCCAGUUGUUGUUCAGCCCAAACAUCAGGAUGGGGAAGAAAUGUGAUCUCAGUGAUUUGGAUCUUGGAAUGAUUGUUAGUGCCGGACAGGGUGGGCUUCACAAUUCAGAAACUGCUGAUCUCCUGAGAUUUUCAUGCACAACAGUCUCUGGUGUUUACAGAGAAUGGUGUGAAAUCAAAAAAAAAUUCAGUGAGUUGCGGUUCUGUGGGCGUAAACGCUUUGUUAAUGGGAGAGGAAAAUGGCCGGAAUGGUUCAGGCUGACAGGAAGGUGAGAGUAACUUGUUACUUGUUACAACAGUGGUGUACAGAAGAGCAUCUUUGAACUUACAACACAUCAGACCUUCAAGUGGAUGGGCUAGGGCAUCAUGAACACACGGAAGUACAUUCAGUGGCCAGGAGGUGCCAAAUAAAGUGGCCACUAACUUUGGUAAUAAAGUUGCUUUGAAAUCUGAUCUUUCUGAACUCAUCCCCCUGAGGUGCAUCUCAUCUGGACCAGGUUAUUUAAGUCCAGCUGGUACCUCCCCUUUAUUGGCUGGUUGUCCGUCGUAUCCAACAAUGACGGAAGACCUGUGCUGGAGAGUUUUUGAUGUGGAAAAGCUGUUGUACCAGAGCAUUUCCACUCUCUCAGCUUCGGAAGUGGGGGUCCAGUGGUACGAGUAGGUACCACAUACUGGAGUCUUCCUUGGUUUCACUGGAUAACCAUGACUUCUUCAGCGCCUUACAGUGCCUUCGCUCUCCUCAAAGCGUUGCGGAACUACCUUCUUGGGUAUUGGAUCUCACCGUGAUCUCAUUCACCCUGUCUGCCGAAGCUGACUUCACUAAAGAACUUCAGGAUGUAUAUUGUAUUCUUUCCUCUGACAUUAAAUGUGCCUAUUGAAACAUGCUGGGACUGGCAUUUCCCUAACUCUCCAGGACAUGAGGCUGCUGGCUACCCUCAUCUAGUUUAACCCACCGUGGAAGCAGUGUAGCAGGGUAUGGCCGUUGUCACACACAAACAGCUAUUUGGAGCCACACGUAAGAGAUGAUUGUCCGGUGGGGACCAAAGGUGAGUGAGCUACCCUGGAAUGGACACAACAAGCCCCUUCAUCAGAGGUGCCACCCCUCCCUGGACACCCCAUACACCCGUCCCCUUUGUUUAAUAUUAUCCCAUUAAUUGCUAUCUGCAUAAGUAUUUGUGUUGUGAGAUAGAUUACAUAAUCACAUUGUGAAUCUCUUGUUACAUUCAGAUGGUAAACUCUUACAUUCAGUAGGAAAGGGAACAGUCAGCAGUGUGUUUCAUGCUGUAGCUUCUCAAUGUGGCUGUUCCAUUUAGGUUUUCUAAUUAUCUCGUUGCUACAAUUUAGUUUAUAUGUAAAUGUUUGAAAGCUUGUCUUCAAAGAAUGUAACUUUGAAUACUGUGAUGCAGUCUUGUGACUUUGAUUCUUUUGAGCACACAGGUACACUGACUACAUUCCGAGUGACAAUGCUCAUAUUGUGCUAAUAAAAAUGACUGCAGGAAAACCUAACAAGAACAGUGACACCAGCUGUUUACAUCAUCUUUCUGGAGCUGUUGUCAAAGUUCCAGCAACAUCUUGGCAGGAGAUUCGGAGAAUCCUGAUGGGAAUUCCAGAGCUAGAAAUGAAUGGAUGGAAAUUAUAAGCCUCGCUGUUAUCACAUGGGAUUUUUGAAAAUGAGAAGAGAAUGGAGUUUUACAGGGACCUAUGGCCGCUCUGGCCUGGCAUGCUCGGGACGUCCACAGAAACCUCUGCCUGUCUAGAGCAACAUAGAGGUCAGAAAUAAACCGGGGGCAGAGGUAAGCGUAUCCAACCCCAAGCUCUGCUAUUGAACUCACUAAACCUAGGAUCAACGCACCUCAGCUUAAACACCCACCCAUUUAGUGGGAUGGGAUUACCAAUGUUGGUUAAAAUGGUAAUCGCGGUAUAAUUUUUUGCUUGUUUCUUUAUUUAUAUUUAUGUUUUAAUGUACCCACAGUUGGUUAAUGUAUUUAAAACACAUUUCUUUUUAUUUAAAUUUAUUUUUGAAGUAUGUACUUCACAUUAUUUAGACCUGUUUUAAUUAGCAGCCGUUCAGAAACAUACCGUCAUGGUGGAAUGCUCAGAGGUCCAUUUCUGCACCUGAGGCCUGGCCACCUCGAGCUCCACUUGCAGAAGUGCCGUGGAAUGGACGCCACCCGUUCAAUGGAUCCUGUGGAAGUGUGAAGGAUUACUGCAGCCCCAGGGACCCACCAGGGUGAUGUGAAGUGCAAUAAAUAACAUGAGCACAGUGUUUUCUCCCAAAUAUACAGCUCAUAAAAAUGACUCACAGGCUGUCAGCCUGUGCAUAAUGUUCAGGAGGCAGACUGCCAUCUGUUGGAAGACAACAUUUUUAUGUCAGAAUUGGAUUUUGUGAUUGAAAUCUGAAGCCAUCCGUACGAAUAUCAUUCCCUGAUCCCCAUCUGUUGUCUGCUCUGUUCCUUCUAGAUCUGAUUAGUUAAAAGAGGAUUUUAAGCUGCUGGAAAUGGCUUCCAUAUCUCUAAAGGGAUAAAAAUUUUUACGUUACGUCUACAUCUAAAUGUGCAAUGAGCAAUCAUAGUAUUUAGAACAUAAGAACGUAAGAAAUAAGAGCAGGAGUAGGUCAUCCGGCCCAUCGAGCCUGCCCCGCCAUUCAAUAAGAUCAUGGCUGAUCUGUCCGUAAACUCAGCUCCAUCUACCUGCCUUUUCCCCAUAACCCUUAAUUCCCUUACUAUGUACAUAAGAACAUAAUAUAUAAAAAUAAAAAUAUAUAAUAAUUUACGAUAAAUAGAACAGCCAAUGUAACAUAGAAGUACACACAAAUCAGCGUGAGUUCAUCAGUCUGAUGGCCUGGUGUAAGAAGCUGUCCUGGAGCUUGUCGGCCCUGGUUUUUAUGCUGCGGUGCUGUUUCCCUGAUUGUAGCAGCUGGAGUAGUUUGUGGUUGGGGUAACUCAGGUCCCCAAUGAUCCUUCAGGCCCUUUUCUCACACCUGUUUUUGUAGAUAUCCUGAAUCAUGGGAAGUUCACAACUACAGAUGUACUGGGUUGUCUGCACCACUCUCUGCAGAGUCAUGUGAUUGAGGGGAGUACAGUUCCCAUAUCAGGCAGUGAUGCAGCCAGUCAGGAUGCUCUCAUUUGUGCCCCUGUAGAAAAUCUUUAGGAUUUGGGGGCCCAUACCAAUCUUCCUCAACCGUCUGAGGUGAAAGAGGCGCUGUUAUGCCUUUUUCACCACACAGCUGGUGUGUACAGACCAUGUGAGGUCCUCGGUGAUGUGAAUGCUGAGCAACUUAAAGGUGUUUACCCUCUCAACCCCAGAUCCGUUUGAAGAUUAGGAGGAUGCAGUCAUCUAAUGCAUUGCAUGAAGAGAGUCCAUUACCUGCAUUGGAUGUCUGCCCUGAUUUUGUUCAUUUACAUUCAGUCAAAAGAACACAGCAGUUGAAUUCCUCCAUUAAUAAACUUUAGGAACAAAUACACCGUUUUAUUGUAAUUUAGAGGUAUUGAUAGUGUUGAUUUAAACACAUAAAUUGUCACUCAGUUAACCAGUAGUUUGUCUUUUUUAUACUUUUUAGUGACUUCCAUGAAACUUCUGCUAAUUUUAUAUAUCUUACUGUAAUUUAUAUAUUUAAUAUUAUAUACUGCAAUAAUGUAUUGCUGCCCCAAAACAACAUAUUUCACAACAUAUGCCAGCGAUAUUAAACCUGAGUCUGAUUCAGACUGACUGCAGAGUUGGAGUUCUAUUCCUGCCACUGUCUGUAAAGGAUUUGUGCAUACUCCCUGCCACUGCAUAGAUUUCCUCCUGGUGCUCUGGUUUCCUCCCACAUUCCGGGUAAGGGUUAGUGAGUCGUGGGCAUGUUAUGUUAGCACUGGGAGCAUUGUGACACUUGCACAAUCCUCUCUGAUUUGACUUGACACAAAUGAUGCAUUUCACUGAAGGUUUCAAUGGACACGUGACAAGUAAAGCAGAUUUUCUUUAACCUUAGGAAGUGACCAGUUUCGGAGCUGUAUGGUGAUCCAGUCAGAUGAGCUUCUUUAGAUUUGCAGAAACUGCUCUCAACCAUGCAA